rnacentral:rRNA from 1 species
UAAAGCAAAGAAGAGCGCAGAGUGAAUGCCUUGGCAUUGGGAGCCGAUGAAGGACGUGGUUAACUGCGAUAAGCUGCGGGGAGCUGUAAGCAAGCUUUGAUCCGCAGAUUUCCGAAUGGAGCAAUCCACAUGAAGUAGUUCAUGUAUCCAUACGUGAAUUCAUAGCGUAUGGAGGGGAACCGCCUGAACUGAAACAUCUAAGUAGGGCGAGGAAGAGAAAUCAACCGAGAUUCCGUAAGUAGUGGCGAGCGAACGCGGAAGAGGCCAAACCGAGAGAAGAAAUUCUUUCGGGGUUCGGACUGCAUUUAGUAUUCUUGAUCUUUAGUCGAACAGUCUGGGAAGGCUGACAAGAGAGUGUGAUAGUCACGUAGACGAAAAGGAGAAAGAGCGAGCAGUAUCCAGAGUACUGCGGGGCACGUGAAAUCCCGUGGGAAGAUGGGGGGACCACCCUCCAAGCCUAAAUACUACCCAAUGACCGAUAGCGUAAAGUACUGUGAAGGAACGGUGAAAAGAACCCCGGGAGGGGAGUGAAAAGAACCUGAAACUCUGUGCUUACAAGCACAUAGAGCACGUCAAUGUGUGAUAUGGUACCUUUUGUAGAAUGGUCCGGCGAGUUAUGGUAUGCAGCGUGGUUAAGGACUUCAGGUCUGAAGCCGAAGCGAGAGCGAGUUUGACAAGGGCGAAAAGUUGUAUGCCAUAGACCCGAAACCGGGUGACCUAGCCAUGUCCAGGCUGAAGUGGAGGUAAAACUCCAUGGAGGGCCGAACCGACCUCCGUUGAAAAGGCGGCGGAUGAGAUGUGGCUAGCGGAGAAAUUCCAAUCGAACCCGGAUAUAGCUGGUUCUCCCCGAAAUAGCUUUAGGGCUAGCGUUGUAUUAGAUUACCGGAGGUAAAGCACUGAAUGGGCUAGGGGCUGAGAAGUUACUGAACCCUAUCAAACUAAGAAUGCCGGAUAAUUGAUGUACAGCAGUCAGACUAUGUGAGAUAAGUCUCAUAGUCAAAAGGGAAACAGCCCAGACCCACAGCUAAGGUCCCAAAAUGGAUUUAAGUGGAAAAGGAUGUGGAAUUGCACAGACAACCAGGAUGUUGGCUUAGAAGCAGCCACUCAUUAAAAGAGUGCGUAAUAGCUCACUGGUCGAGUGACUCUGCGCCGAAAAUUCAACGGGGCUAAAAUUCAUACCGAAGCUUGGGCUUGACAGAAAUGUCAGGGGUAGGGGAGCGUCGUAUACGAGGUGAAGUCAUAGCGGAAGCGGUGGUGGAUUGUAUACGAGUGAGAAUGCCGGAAUGAGUAGCGAGAAUUAUGUGAGAAUCAUAAUGGCCGAAAGUCUAAGGUUUCCUGAGGAAGGUUCGUCCUCUCAGGGUUAGCCGGGAGCUAAGGUGAGGCGGAAACGCGUAGCCGAUGCACAUACGGUAGAAAUUCCGUAGCCUCCGAAGAUUUAAGCACAGGGACACUUUUGAAGGGCUGAGCCGGGCGUUGGUUGCCCCGGUCGAAAGGGACACGAUUGAGUGGAAGUCAGUUUGGAAAGAGGCGAGAAAAGCUGUGUGUAUAUGAAAGGAGCCCGUACCGCAAACCGACACAGGUAGACAGGAAGAAGAUUCUAAGGCCAGCGGGAGAAGGGUUGUUAAGGAACUCGGCAAGUUGACCCCGUAACUUCGGGAGAAGGGGUGCUUACGAAGGUAAGCCGCAGAGAAUAGGCCCAAGCGACUGUUUAGCAAAAACACAGCUCUAUGCUAAAUCGAAAGAUGACGUAUAUGGGGUGACACCUGCCCGGUGCUGGAAGGUUAAGAGGAGAUGUGAGAGCAUUGAAUUGAAGCCCCAGUAAACGGCGGCCGUAACUAUAACGGUCCUAAGGUAGCGAAAUUCCUUGUCAGGUAAGUUCUGACCCGC